AUGGGGAACAGCCGGCCGGGAGGGGCGCCGCCGACAAGCAGCGGGAGCGUGGCGGGGAGCAACCCGGAGGCUGUACCGGAAGCUCCCCGGUUGCGGCCGCACGGAGGGCCAGGCGCGUCGGGUCUGGGGAGCCCAGGUCGGAGCACACCCCUUCCUGGUGGUCGGGAGAGGGGUUCCACGGCGGCAAAUGUGAUGACACCGUCUUGUGACAGGCAGCAGAACAGAGCGGUGGAGGAAGCGCCGCUCGGAGGGUCGAGCGCGGUUAAGAAGAGCAGUGUGCCCAAUUCUCUGUCAAGAGGUUCAGACGGAAGCUCUGGCUCUAGGAUGGGUGCAGAGGAGCAAGUGAUGAGUGAGCAUGCGAGCAACGGGGAUGCUGGCUCUUCGUCGAAGAAGCGGCGAAAAAGAAUGGAUGCAAGAAGCUACAUCAAGAAAUUCAAGACGGGCAUAAGACCGGGUGCCUCAGCUGCAGUUGUUGCUUCCCCUGACAGGAUGGGCAAGGAGAAUACUUCAAGUGGGCAUGUGGCAGACAACAACAACAAUGCUGCUAUUCUGUGUGAAGGUAGCAGGUUGAUUGAAAAAAGCAAGGGACAUUCAAGCCAUGCUGCCUUUAAAGUUUCUAAAAGUCCUAUUUCUGGUUUACAUGAAACUUCAGACACAAGAGUUGACCAAUGUUCUACACCGCUUUUAGAGGUACAGCCACAUAAACCUACCGACGUGCAAAAUAUAGCGGCUGAAAGCAGUCUUCCAGCAAAGGCUAGAGAUCCACACACUGGCCCUGCAAGGCAAAACAUUCUAUCAUCAUUGCAAAGUGUGCCAAUAUCUACUAUUCAUCAAGAAGAGGUACUGCCACAUAAACGUACCGUUGUGCAAGAUAUAGCGGCUGAAAGCAGUCUUCCAGCAAAGGAUAGAGAUCGACACACUGGCCCUGCAAGGCAAAACAUUGUACCAUCAUUGCAAAGUGUGCCAAUAUCUAGUAUUCAUCACAAAGAGAUUAAGAGCACACUUGGAGAUGCUGAACCUAUUAGCGUUCAGAAAGAAAAUUCAGCUCCAGGACAUCUCCAGGUGGCCCGAUCUGAUGGAACAGAUGGUAACCCCAACAUAUGUGUUGCCUGUGGUCUUGGAUCCCCAGGAACUUUUAGGUCCUGUGAUGGAAAAGGUUGCAAAAGUAGGUACCAUAUGUCUUGUCUGGAUCAAUAUUUGUCUCUUGGAAAUUGGUUCUGUACCAGCUGUACGAAAAAGAGGUUGCAGUCUGGCUUACAUCAUAUUGUUGAUGGGAUAGAGUCUGUGUGGGAUGUCAAGGAGGCUGAGGGAAUGCAAACUAGCAAGCAGUAUUUUGUCAAGUAUAAGAAUCUGGCGCAUGUCCAUAACCGUUGGGUUCCAGAAGGUGAUAUUAGUGUCAUGCCUGGAGGUCCUGAUCUUCUUUCCUUGUUUAACAAGAGGAAUCAUACUGAAAAGACAAUUCGGAAGGAGUGGACUAAACCACAUCGCCUGUUGAGGAAGAGGCUACUUGUGCCCCCAAGAUUGGCUGAGGAUUUCUUCUGCUCGGAUGAUUUCCUUUGCUCAUCUGGUGUCUCAUAUUGUACUCUUGAAUGGUUAGUGAAAUGGAGGGGUCUUGGCUAUGAUCAUGCAACAUGGGAACUAGAGACUUUAUCCUGUUUAUGUACGCCGGAAGCUGACGAACUUAAAGAGAACUACGAGAACCACCGUGAAGCUGCAAAACAAUCAUCUAUUCCCCAAAAAACAAAGGUUAAGCAAAGCUCAUUCCAGAAACUUGAGAGAUUGCCAGAUGGGUGCCAUCCUGAUUUUGACAAUGAUCACUUGUAUUCAAUCAAUCACCUUCGAGAGUACUGGCACAAAUCCCGUGGUGCUGUUCUUGUUGAUGAUAAGGAGUAUGUAAUAAAGACUGUGCUAUUCACAAUGUCUGUAUUACCUGACGUCAGCCAACCUUUUCUGAUUCUCACAACUCCUGGUUCUCUGUCCUUAUGGGAGGUUCAGUUCAAUAAGUUGGCACCGUUUAUCAAUGUCGUUGUGUAUGACGGGGGGAAAGAUGAGCUCAAAUUAAUUCGAGAUUUGGAAUUCUAUGAGAGUGGAAGCCACUGUAUGUUACAGGUUCUCUUAUCCCAUCCUGAUGCUAUCCUAGAGGAUAUUGAACCUAUAGCACACAUUGGUUGGGAAGCAGUCAUAGUUGAUUAUUAUCAAAAGUCAGCUUUACAAUACCUCGAACAACUGAAGCAAUUUCCCACUGAUUUCAGAAUGUUGCUUGUGAGCUCCCCAAUUAAGGAUAAUCUUCCUGAAUACGUGAAACUUCAAGCAUUCCUUAAUUCUGGAGAGCAAGAAAAUGGCAGUUACGUUGAUACUGCUGAGACCCUUAUGAUGCUGAAAGGAAACUUCAAAAGUCAUAUUGCAUAUGAGCGUCAAGCAGAUUCUUCAAAAAUAUUGGAGCAUUGGGUUCCUGCUUAUGUUUCACAACUGCAGCUACAGACAUAUUGUUCCAUACUGCUUUCAAACUCAUCUGUCCUCCAGUCGCAGAUGAAAAGUGAUAAAGCUCUUUAUGACAUUAUUAUGUCUCUCUCAAAGUGCUGUGAUGACCCUUACCUUGUUGAUGAAUCCCUGCGACCUCCUGUCAACAAUCAUGAUCAGACUGAUCCUACAGUUACGAGAGUGCAAGCAUGUGGCAAGCUACUGCUUCUUCAAAAAAUGCUUGAAGCAAUAAGGAACAAGAGGCUAAGAGUCAUUAUUCUUUUUCAAUCUGGUGCACCAGCUGGAAGCUCAAUGGGUGAUACUUUGGAAACUGUUGUGCGCCACAAAUUUGGCCCGGAGUCAUAUGAACGUGUUGGAUUUUGUGGAUCAUUCUCGAAGAAAGCGGUGGCACUUAAUAAGUUCAAUGACAAGACCAAGGGGAGAUUUGUUUUUCUGAUUGAAACAAAUGCAUGCCUCCCAAGUAUUGAGCUGUCAUCUGUCGAUGCCAUUAUCAUAUAUAAUAGUGACUGGAACCCACUUACUGAUCAAAAGGCUCUUCAAAGAAUCAAAAUAGAGUCACAUCUUAGCUAUCCAAGCAUUUUUCGCUUAUACACUCCUUUGACAAUGGAGGAGAAGUGGCUUGUGCUUGCAAAACAGGGCAUGCUUAUUGAUAAGAAGGAUAUAACACACAGCGUAAGCCAUUCCUUUAUCAGUUGGGGUGCAUCAUGUCUCUUCACUAGACUUGAUGAGCUUAAGCAUGACAACUGUGCAAGUAAAAACUCUGAAAGGGACAACUUUAUGGACAAAGUAGUUUCAGAGUUCUUGAAAAAAUUAGCCACUAAUGUUGUAGGCAGCACCAAACUUAACUGCACAUGCAUAUCGGAAGCUAACAUGAGUGGUAAAUUUUACUCAAGAAACAUCACACUAGUAGGUGAAAAAGAGGAAAUGUGUGCAUUGGAUGGAGACCCAUCUAAGUUCUGGUUAAAUUUACUGGAUGGAAAAUCUCCCUCUUGGAGCUAUAUAUCUGAGCCACCACAAUCAAGCCAUAACAUCUUACAGAACAUGGAAGAACCACCCAAAGUUCCUGCUGAAGAAGAACCCAAUGAAACCAGAAGGAAGCGUAGAAAGGUUGGUGAAAUCACAGGUCCAUCUUCAAAAAGUUCACAUGACAACAAUCACCAUGAUGUGUUGCCUGAAAAUUCUACAUCGAGUCCUGCUAUUCAACCGCUGGAUGACGCACAACAAACAUUAGGGGUGGAAAAACGGAUGAGCACACCCAAGAAUCUUCACGUCCAACUUAAGAAAGAGCUGUCAAAACUAAUUACGGCCCUACAAUUGCCGGAUGAUGUAAGAGCUAUGGCUGAACAGUUGUUUGAGUAUUUUUUGAAGAAUCAUCUAGUUGUUACAGAGCCAGUGAGCAUACUGCACGCAAUCAUCAUAUCCUUGUGUUGGCAUGCUGCUUCUGUUCUUAAGUAUAACAUAAAUUGUGGAGAGUCAAUUGCCCUUGCUGGAAAAAGCUUGAACUGUGAGUGCAAUGAAGAGCUUGCAUCAUUCAUCUAUGGAAGAUUAAGGUUCCCAGAGGAAAAAAAUCCAAAUAGAGCAAUUGAAACUAGCAUCAAUGGUCAACCAGUGUCAGUAGAGGACACCCAAAUCUCAUGGGAGGAGACCUCUACCAACUUGGCUACCAACUUGAGAAUCAACCACAUGCUCCAAAAUAAGGAAAUGGAUCAUGGUAAUUUGACGAGUAGUGGACCACAAGAGGUUUCAUCUAGUGCUGAGCAUAUGAUCCCAGAGGUGCAGGAACCUGUUCAGGAAACUCAUGGAGAAUGUCAUGUGUCAAAUGAUGAGCUUCCUAAUAUGAUUGUGGAGAAAAGAACAGAGUUAGACAACAAUCUUGACAAUUUCACAAAUGGUGCACCACAAGUGAUCUCAUCUGGUGCUGAGCAGAUGAUCUCAGAGGUGCAGGAACCUAUACAAGAAAUUCACAGAGAAUCUCAUUUGCCAAAUGAUGAGCUUCCUAACAUGACUCUGGAGAAAAGAGCAGAGUUAGUUGACAACAAUCAUGACAAUUUCACAAAUGGUGCACCACAAGUGGUCUCAUCUGGUGCUGAUCACAUGAUCUCAGAGGAGCAGGAACCUGUUCAAGAAACUCACAGAGAAUGUCAUUUGUCAAAGGAUGACCUUCCUAACAUGAUCGUGGAGAAAAGAAUGGAGUUAAUUGACAAUGUUUUCUCCUUGAGAGAAAAGAAUAUCCUUUGUAAACAACAGCUUGAGAUCUCAGGUUUAGACACAUACACACAGAACAACGUUAUCAGACUGAAGGAAGUGUGCACUUUAGUUCUGAAGCAUAUUCGUAGAAGUCACAUUGAUGAAGUGACCAGGAGUGACAAAAUAAAGCUAACUGUUCAGUGGUUCACUAUGCUUAUGUAUGCAUUUUUGGACCACAUGAGUCUCCAGCAUAACAAACUCGAGGCACUGCAAUCUGAUAGGUGGCUCGUAGAGCGACAUCUGAAGGAGAAUCUCCACCAGGUAGCAAAAUCAGGCCAAUUAGAUCAAGACUUUGAUCGGCAUAUUGCUCUACCAGAUUCAAACUUUGUUAUGGAAGAAUUCAUCCAUUUUAAGGAGCAGAGUGGCGAGUAUCAUAUUGUUGAAAGUUCUGUGUCAGAUAACCAGCAGUCAUUAGAUGAUGGAUUGUUAAUGGAAAUUGCAUUAGUACGAAAUGAAGUUCUGUCAGGGGCCAUAUCUACACAGGCAAUGGAAAAUGAGCCAGCUGCAACUUCUGUGGACUCAAGUGAAGGACCAGCAUCAGAAGCUGUUGAUUUUCCAGGAAACUGCAUCCUUAGUUCUGAUGGCAUGGGUGUACAAAGAGCUGGUUGUUCAUCAAGUACUAUUCCUGCAAAUGAUGAUUCAGUUGGUCAGGAAUCUUCAAGUGGUGACUCUAGAAAUACUGGACAUGUUGAGGCAGAAAAUAUUGCUAAUCCAAGUAUGUUGCUGGAAGGAGCAGAUUCUCUUGUUAGGGGACUUAAUGCAAACAACGACACUGUUGAUACAGAUCAAGUCCACUUGGAGUCACCAGUUAGUCCAGCUACCUUACCAAUGUCUACUGAAUUUGAAACUCAGACUUGCCAAUCAAGUAUGCAUGUGGAACAAAGUCCUGAAGUGCAACAGUCAACCUCAAUGCAAGGUCAACCUGCAGAAAAACGAGCAUGUAUCGUGGGUCCCGAGGCAGCAAUGCAGGAUCAGCCAGCAGAGGCAGAGCGAGCAGGUACCUUGGGUGCGAUAUCAGCUCAGGUUUUGCCGCCUGAAAUGCAAUCAUCAUCAACCUCAACGAGGGGCGUUCCUUUUGUGUCUGGUCUGCAGAGUUCGUCUGUCCAUCAAAGUGUAGUACCUUCAUUGGAUCCACAUGCAGGAGUAGAGUUAUCGGGCAUGGUGACACCUCAUGCUGUACAAUCACCAGCCUCAAUGCCUGCAGAACAGAGUACGAGUCUGCCUGACGAACAAAGCUUAGCAACUUUGCAUCAUCCGCCAGCAGAAGCAGAACCAGCAGGUAUUCUGGCCACAGAGGCAGCUUGUGAUUUGCAGCCUGAAGUCCAACUGUCAACCUCAAUGCAGAAUCAACCUGCAGAUUCUCUUUUUAGGGGACUUGAUGCAAACAAUGAUGACACUGUUGAUACAGAUCAAGUCCACUUGGAGUCACCAAUUAGCCCAGCUACCUUACCAAUGUCUACUGAAUUUGAAACUCAGACUUGCCAAUCAAGUAUGCAUGUGGAACAAAGUGUAAGUGUACCUGCCCAACAAAGUUUAGCAACUUGCCAAUCAAGUAUCUAUCAAGUAUGUCUCCUGAACCAAUCUUGCGAUUUGCAGCCUGAAGUGCAACAGUCAACCUCAAUGCAAGAUCAACCUGCAGAAAAACGCGCAUGUAUCGUGGGUCCCGAGGCAGCAAUGCAGGAUCAGCCAGCAGAGGCAGAGCAAGCAGGUACCUUGGGUGCCAUAUCAGCUCAGGUUUUGCCGCCUGAAAUGCAAUCAUCAUCAACCUCAAUGCGGGGCGUUCCCUUUGUGUCUGGUCUGCAGAGUCCGUCUGCCCAUCAAAGUGUAGUACCUUCACUGGAUCCACAUGCAGGAGUAGAGUUAUCUGGCACUGUGACACCUCAUGCUAUACAACCACCAGCCUCAAUGCCUGUGGAACAGAGUACGAGUCUGCCUGCCCAACAAAGCUUAGCAACUUUGCGUCAUCCACCAGCAGAAGCAGAACCAGCAGGUAUUCUGGCCACAGAGGCAGCUUGCGAUUUGCAGCCUGAAGCCCGACUGUCAACCUCAAUGCAGGAUCAAGCUGCAGAAGAAGGAGCAUGUAUCAUGGGCGCCACUGCUGCUCGAGGUUCGCAGCCUGAAGUGCAACCAUCAACCUCAUUGGAUUCACAUGCCGGAGCAGAAUCAACAGAUACGUUGGGUGUGGUGACAGCUCCUGAUAUGCAAUCGGAAAUACAACCAUCAGCCUUGAUGCAGGACCGACCUGUGGCAGCAGAAGGAGCAUGUGUUCUAGGCACGACAGUAGCCCAGGAGUUGCAGCCUGAACUGCAAACAGCAACCACAGUUCAGCAUGACCCACUUGAAAGAACACGCUCUGAAGAAAGGAGACAAGCUGGUUUUGAACCAAACACAGCAGCCAGUCCUGAGCAUGAUCUGCAGUCUGAAAUACAGCCAUCAGCCUCAAUGCGUGAUCGACCUGCAGGAGCAGAAGGAGCAGGUAUGGUAGGCAGUACGGCAGCCCAGGAUUUGCAGCCUGAACGGCAGUUAUCAACCACAGUUCAGCAUAUCCCUAUCGGUCCUGAGCAGCCUACCCAACUGCCUCCAGUCACGCCAUUAGUGUUUAAUAAUCCAAUAUUUAGUGAUGAACCGCUGAGAAAUGAGUUGGAAAAAAUAAUUCAUUGGAGCACUUUGCUUGAUAAAGGCCAUGACGAUAAGAGAUCACAACUUCAGGCAGAGCGCAACCAAGAAAUAGAGAAGAUAAACAGGAAGUAUGACUCGUUACUUCAACAAGAAGAUUCCGCUCAUCGUCUGAAGCGGACUCAGUUGAAUGGUAUCUACCAGAAAGUUUACGUGAGCAAAUCACUAGCUGAGAAUUUCCGAUGCCAGUUCACGCCAUCAGUUGCAUCUCAUGGGAGAUCGACGGGCCAUGUAAUGGAUCAGCUACCCGAGUCUUCUUCAGCGGCUCGGGGCCAUGUAAUGGAUCAGCUACCCGAGUCUUCUUCUUCUUCAGCGGCUCGGGGCCCAGCAUCGCCGCCGGUUAUCCCAUCAUCAGCCAUCAGAGCGCCGGUGCACAGUUCAGCAGGAUCCUACGUCCGCCCUUCACUGGUGGCAUCACGGACCGUCCAGUCACAGUCAGCCAUGCCUGGCAAUCUCUCUGGAGCAACAUCACCACCUUUUGUUCCAGCGCCUUCGCUACAUGCAAGCCACGGACCCGCCGGACCACAGUUGCGCCCUGUCCAGCCACAAUCAGUUCCACCCAGCAUUCUCUACAGAACAAUGCCACCUGGUAUUCCGACGCCUCGGCCACAGGGCAGCUACAGGCCCGCUGGAGCAGCAGCAGCACAGCAGCUGCGUGCGCCCUCUCCUCAUCUGCAGCACCUCAGGAUGCGCCCGCCAUAUGUCACCCCCACAGACCAGCAGCAGCAGCAGCAGCUUCCUGCCAUCCUAGGGGUUCCAGCGGGCGGGCAGUUUGUCACGGAUAGCCUAAGGCCGGCGUUUCCGCAGCCAGGCGCCGUGCUAGCCUCCAUGACUCCAGCAGCAGGCUCGGCUCACCAACCAGUGCCGCCGUCAGCGCCAGGCUCAAGCUCAGCCACCCCGACGUACUUUGUUCCACCUGGUCGGCAUACGGACCCCGUCUGGACGCCGAACCCCGCCCUCACGGUUGCCCAGCUCCAGCAGCAGGCAUCGUAUCUGAACAUGGCCUUGGGCGGCGGCAGCAGCACCUCAGCAGGUCCGGCGGCGCCAGGAAGCCAGCAGCACGCCGGCGGCGCUCAGCUGCCUGCCGUCCUCAACCAUCCAGGCUUGGAACCGUCACCGCCGCCGAACAGCAACCGGUACAUGCCGGCCAGGUUCGGCGUGGAGCCUGACAGCAGCAGCGGCGGCACCAGCAACGCAGCUGGGCCGAGCGCGGAGGUGGUGUGCCUCUCCGACGACGAAGCCUAG
rnacentral:rRNA from 1 species